UACGUAGGUGGCAAGCGUUGUCCGGAAUUAUUGGGCGUAAAGCGCGCGCAGGUGGUUCCUUAAGUCUGAUGUGAAAGCCCACGGCUCAACCGUGGAGGGUCAUUGGAAACUGGGGAACUUGAGUGCAGAAGAGGAAAGUGGAAUUCCAAGUGUAGCGGUGAAAUGCGUAGAGAUUUGGAGGAAUACCGGUGGCGAAGGCGGCAUCCUGGACCGGCAUUGACGCUGAGGAGCGAAAGCCAGGGGAGCAAACGGG
rnacentral:rRNA from 1 species